rnacentral:rRNA from 1 species
UACGUAGGGUGCAAGCGUUAAUCGGAAUUACUGGGCGUAAAGCGCACGUAGGCGGUGUUCUUUGUCAGAGGUGAAAGCCCGGGGCUCAACUCCGGAAUUGCCUUUGAAACGGGAACGCUAGAGUCCGAGAGAGGAUGGCGGAAUUCCUAGUGUAGAGGUGAAAUUCGUAGAUAUUAGGAAGAACACCGGUGGCGAAGGCGGCCCACUGGGCUGUCACUGACGCUGAGGCGCGAAAGCUCGGGGAGCGAACGGG